GUAAUGAACGGAUUGCAGAACACAGGCAGUUAUUUUCAAGAUCGAGGACGAGGAGCUCCAGCAACAACAGAAUCGGACCCAACACAACAACAGCCAUCACAGCAGGCACAGCCACAGCAUCAAGAACAUCAUCACCACCACGUUCAGUAACAACAGUAGGCCAAGGCGAAGCAUUUAACCCCUUGCCAUUUAACCCCUCACUUAGACCACGGAAUAGGAAUAGAAGGCGCCGUUUCAGUCCAUACACGUUUGAUCGCACUGAAACACAAAAAACUUUUGCUAAAACUAUCGUUGUGAUCCCCGAGAGAAAUGUUAACACUGUACCGACAGGAGCUCAGCGAGCGCAGCUCAUCAACCAGGGCUUAUGGAAAGUAAAAGUUGCUGUACCUUCAGGUGGAUCACUUCUAAGCAGAUAUGCAACAAUGUAAACACAAUUCAUGGAAAACCGAAUGGCGUAUUGUCAUGAAACUCACAGGAGUGAUCAAUCUUACUAAUAUACAGAUCAAAUUCAAAAAUCAACUUGAUCGGUUCAGUUUUGAUGAAGUUAUGCCUUGUUUUGAAUGUAAGUGCUUUUUCCUCAGAUUCAUUUCAUAGGCAUGUUUACAGUGUCAUUAGUUAAAGAAUAAGAUACGUAAAACCCUUUGUUUGACAUUUUUGGCAUCUUUACAAUAUUGUUAGUUGAUUAUAUAAAAAUGGUGUAAAACCUGUUGUGAUCUAUUGUAUAAAUAAGUGUCAUUGCAGUCUGUCAGAUUCAAUCGAUCACUAUGUUUAGAGUUUCAGAA